rnacentral:tRNA from 21 species
AGGCAAGUAGCUCAGGGGGAGAGCGCCAUCCUGACGCGGUGGAUGUCCAGGGUUCAAAUCCCUGCUUGCCUACCA